UGUACAUGUUUCCAGAUGGAAAAAUGAACCAGACGACUGUACUCACUUAGAAAUAUAACCUUAGGAAAAAAAAUCCAGUGAUCUGUGGAUACUACCUCAAGCUUCAUUUGUGUUUUAUUUUUGGCUUAUAAUGAUAUUAUUUUGUUAUACACUCCCUAUGUUUUAAUUUUUGACUUUUAUACAAUUUUCAUUUGCUUUAUUCCUAUUUAGCAGAACCUUCAGAAUGGGGGAUUAUUUUGGAAAUAUUUGAAAUCUUUAUGGAAAUUCCAGGAAAUCUUCUUGCUAUAGCUUGGGUCUGAAGUAGCCCCUGAAGCCUGUGUGUUAAAGGUUUAGUUGCCAACCUGUGCUACUGGUAGGGAGCAGUGGAAACUUUUGGAGCUGAGGUCUGGAGGAGAGAAGUUAGGCCAUUGCUGUGCCAUUAAAGGGAUUCUGCACUCUGGUCUGUCUGUCUGUCUCUUUCCCUUUGCUGGCUGCCAUGAGGUGAGCCGAUUUUCCCCACCACACACACUCCUCAACAUGCUACUCUACCUCACCACAGUCCCCAAACAACAGUGUCAACCGACCAAGGACAGAAGCCUCUGAAACUCCUGAGACUUCAAUGAAGAUGAUUCUAUGCCUGGGUCCAGGAGUGAAGAAUAUGACAUUUAUUAAAAACCUAAAUGCAUUUCAUCUCCGUGGCUUCUAUGAUUGUUCAAGGACUGGUGAAGAACACUCAGGCAGUCAGGGCCCAUGCGACUCAGUUCUGGAACUUUGGUUUGUGUAGCAGCAAAAGCAAAGCCUCAUCUGUGCGACUGAUGCCUAUGAAGUGAGGCUGGAACUGCAAGAGGAUCGCUUCAGCAAGCCCGAGAGUGAGUCAGCCCGGCUGAGUGUGGGCUGGAGAAAUGGGCAGUCUCAGCUGUGGCUCCGGCCGGAGCUGCUGCCCUGUGCCUUCUGCAGGGACGUGAGCCGCUCCUCCCAGGCAGUGCCACCCUCCUUUUCUCUCAUCAGCCACGUCAGAUUGGCCGUUCAUCACUUACUAAAAGAGUCAGAAUGAUCCAGGUUCUAAAGUGGGAUCCGGGAGACAUUAGCAGUUCUGUCACUGUCAGCCUGCAGAGGUUUGGGGCAGUUCAUUUAAACUUUCUCUGGACAUUCAUCUUCAGUGAAAUGAGCAGGUUGAAUUAGACAAUUGAAAAAUCUCUUCCUGCUUCAGAAUUCUGUGAUUUCUGUGUGACUUUGCUUCCAGAUCUAACCUGAGCACCUCGGCUGUUGUCCUCUGCACCUUUUCCAGUUAGUCAAGUUGUUAUCGGAGUGGUCAAUCCUUAAAAGCUAAAGAACAGAAGCAAUGUUCUCAUGAUGCAGCGUCCUUUGUCACUCAUUACUGAAUUACAAAAGUUUAUUUUCCCCAUCCUCCUAAUUGCAGAAAAGAGAAUCUUUUAAAAUGCUUUGCUGUGCAUAUAAGCGUUCCUAUCAUAAUUCUAAUACAUAUAUAAUUUUAAGACUCUGUAGUGAAAUAACCCCGUUUUAAUGGGUAAAAGUAGGCCUAUCACUCUUUUGCUUCCGAAGUUUUAUUUUGAGAAAUUUCACACCUUCAAAAAGUUGCAAUAGUGCAAUGAACAUCCACAGAGCAAUCACCUGGAUUGUCUAGUUAAUAUCUCGCUAUAUUUGCAUUCCUGUGCUGUAUUUCCUGAGCAAGUGUGUUACUCUUUGUGCAUUUUAAGACGAGAAGGGCUGCUGAGCAGAAGACCACUCUUUCCCUGGACAUUUAGGGGUUGGAGAGGCAGAAGUAGCACAGACAGAGUCUUGAUCUGCCCGAAUUCCAAUCCUGGCUCUCUAAUUCUCCAAUUCAUGUUUGCAAAAUACCAGGUAUGAUUGGCACCAAAGUUCAUACUUAAAACUUAUUAGUUAAUAUCAAUAUUUUGUGAAUAGAACUGAUAAUGUGAACUUAGCUUGAUUUUUCACUGGAUAAGGGAAAAUUUAGUUAUAUCUCUGUUCUGCAAAUGAGCUUGCAUCUUGAGUUUUUUCAUGUAGAAAUAACUUAGUGGUUGGCUUAAAAGGGAAUGAACAAUACUAAAAUGGGAAUGAAAGAGUGUGUAUUUCUAGCUGGGCAAGAAAUCAGACCCCAAAUAGCAUCUGCCAAUACGGUUCUAGCGGAUGUGAGCGAGAUCCGGGGGGCGGAUGGGUUUCAUCUCUGUGCCAGUUACUGGCAGGAGCUGCCUGGCAUAGCAUAUAAAGAGGCUGGCGAGAGCUUACCGGGAGAGGGACCCAUGCCACAGGAGCCGUGAGCCACGGCCUGGUUGCUGUGGUCUGAGGGCGCCCCCACUCCCCAUUUGCCACGUUGCGUUCAUAUCCUGUGACGUGGCAGCAGUGUGACAGGAUGAAGAAGUGAGGCCUAGAGGCAACUAAGCCCGGAGAGCAGAUCGCUCCUGGUGGGAUUAGCGCCCUUACAAAAGGGCCUGGUGGAGUGCAUGGAUUCUCUUGUGCUCUUCUGCCACCUGAGGUCACCAUGCAUUGCUUCUUUUGCCCUUCCAACCCUUCUGCAGGGUGGGACAAGGAGGGCAAGGUACCAUCUUGGGAGCUGAGACCAGGCCUCUCUAGAUGAUGAGCCUGGGCCUGGAGCUUGAACUUCCUCUCCUUGAGAGCUGCAGGAAAUGAAUCUCCACUAUUCUCUAAUGAUGUCAUCCCAAAUAUUUUGUUACAGCAGGACAAAAGUACAAAGGCAUAUGCUCUUGCCAGUUCUGCUCUAGAUAAGAAAGACAAAGAAAGUGAGUUUCAGAAACGUGACAACCCACUGAUAAAUACUGUCAAGGCUAAGAGGAGAGAGAAAAAUCAGUGGGUCGAAUCAAGUAUCCUGCCAGGCCUGUUAGUAAACUAGGAACAUAUCUGUACACUAUUCUAGCACUUACCACACUGAAUGACUCGUGUGUUCCUUUCUCCGGCUAGACCAUAAGUUUCUGCAAGGAAAAUUCACCAUCGUCCGUGUUUUAUGAAAUGUCAGGUACGUAAUGGCACAUGAUCAAUAUUAGAGCUGACCCCACUGUAUCCUAGUUUUGAUGAGGAUUGGGCUGAAAGCCUUCACCCUGUUAAACUCAC
ensembl:lncRNA